UGGUCAUCCCUUUGUGUACGUCAUUCAACCAGUGAUGGCCUGUAUACAGAGCCAAUUCCAAGAAUUUAAAUAGUUGAAGGUCUUCAAUAAGUCCAAAGUAUUAAUGGCCUGAAGAUAUCUUGAAUUCUAGUCACAUGUAAAUGUUAACAAAGAUAGUCAACAAAGUUGCCUUGCUUUUGAUACCAAGAUGCCAUAUACAGGG
rnacentral:lncRNA from 1 species